GGGCAAGUAUGUGAUUGCAGAUUCAGUGAAUCAUCGAAUCUUUGAACGCACAUUGCGCCCGCCAGUAUUCUGGCGGGCAUGCCUGUCCGAGCGUCAUUUCAACCCUCGAACCCCUCCGGGGGGUCGGCGUUGGGGAUCGGCCCUCCCUUAGCGGGGGCCGUCUCCGAAAUACAGUGGCGGUCUCGCCGCAGCCUCUCCUGCGCAGUAGUUUGCACACUCGCAUCGGGAGCGCGGCGCGUCCACAGCCGUUAAACACCCAACUUCUGAAAUGUUGACCUCGGAUCAGGUAGGAAUACCCGCUGAACUUAAGCAUAUCAAUAAGCGGAGGAAAAUAGCUCCGGCGCUGCGUUCUCCUCGAUGCAUU
rnacentral:rRNA from 1 species